GGGCCUGUGGCUCAGUGAGAGAGCAUCUGCUUGGCAUGCGGAAGGUUCAAUCCCCAGAAUCU
rnacentral:tRNA from 1 species